CCGUGAGAGACGAUUUCAGCGCGUCGCGGUGGCCGAGAUAAUGGGCCUGUUCGGGAAGCGUGAGAUCCUGCUCGCCGCCGUCGAGCGCAAUCGCGCCGCCUGCGGCUGGAAGCAGUCCCGCGAUGAUCCGCAGUAGCGACGACUUGCCGGCUCCGUUGAUGCCGGUGACCGCCAGCGCCUGCCCCGCAGGAACAUCAAAAUCGAGACCGGAAAAGAUGCUUCGCCCGCCCCUGACGCAUUCAAGACCCUGACCUGUAAGCCUCAUAAUGGAUUGACCGAUGGCUUGUGACAGGGCGCUGCGGUUCCGGUCGUAGCAGGCAUGAGAGGCAGACAAU
rnacentral:misc_RNA from 1 species